GGGCCCGCACAAGCGGUGGAGCAUGUGGUUUAAUUCGAUGAUACGCGAGGAACCUUACCAGGGCUUAAAUGCAGUUGGACAGGUCUGGAAACAGACCCUUCUUCGGACUAAUUGCAAGGUGCUGCAUGGUUGUCGUCAGCUCGUGCCGUGAGGUGUCAGGUUAAGUCCUAUAACGAGCGCAACCCCCUGUGGUUAGUUGCCAGCACGUAAUGGUGGGAACUCUAGCCAGACUGCCGUGCAAACCGCGAGGAAGGUGGGAUGACGUCAAAUCAUCAUGGGCCCUUACGACCAGGGCUACACACGUGCUACAAUGGUAGGUACAGAGGGCAGCUACACAGCGAUGUGAUGC
rnacentral:rRNA from 1 species